rnacentral:rRNA from 1 species
CCUACGGGGAGCAGCAGUGAGGAAUAUUGGUCAAUGGGCGAGAGCCUGAACCAGCCAAGUCGCGUGAGGGAAGACGGUCCUACGGAUUGUAAACCUCUUUUGUCAGGGAGCAAGGAGCGCCACGAGUGGUGCGGCGAGAGUACCUGAAGAAAAAGCAUCGGCUAACUCCGUGCCAGCAGCCGCGGUAAUACGGAGGGGGCAAGCGUUAUCCGGAUUUACUGGGUGUAAAGGGAGCGCAGGCGGCGCGGUAAGUCUGAUGUGAAAGCCCGGGGCUCAACCCCGGGACUGCAUUGGAAACUGUCGUGCUGGAGUGUCGGAGGGGCAAGUGGAAUUCCUAGUGUAGCGGUGAAAUGCGUAGAUAUUAGGAGGAACACCAGUGGCGAAGGCGGCUUGCUGGACGACAACUUACGCUGAGGCUCGAAAGCGUGGGGAGCAAACAGGAUUAGAUACCCGGGUAGUC